AUCCAUGAUGUGGACAACCUUUUUGGUAUUCCCUAAAUCUCUCCCAAGCAUCGAAAAGAUCUUCAUUUUAAAAAAAAAAAAGUUCUUAUCUAGUU
rnacentral:snoRNA from 1 species